AAACCUUCCUGUCCGGCUGAUAUAGCCUCUCAGGUACACAACAGGGGUAGAUUGAAACGUUCCCUUAGGAAACAGUAUCGAUCGUAGCUGAUUGAUAUCGUGUCGACGUGUGGAACACAUUGUU
rnacentral:snoRNA from 1 species